ACCGUCUGCUGUUUGGGUCGGGCUCUGCAGCGCCUUGGCCCGGCCCAUGGACAGGGGGAUGUUCCAGGCCAGCCAAGAGCCCCGCGCCCGCGUUGCUGCGGAAUGGCAGCGGGUGCUGCCGGCGCUGCGGGGGGCCGGUUCGCACACGGGUGUCUCCCUUCCUCCGCCUGAAAUCUGGGAGCAAAACAUCACCAGAGGCUGGAUGUCACUAAAGCCGGCGGUGUCGCGGGCACACGGGAGAUGCUCUGCCCGCCUGUGCCGCAGAACCCCCGCGGCAGCUCUGUGUGUACACGUGAACGCCCGGUCACGGAAGGUCCGGUCGGGAUGUGCCGCCCCGGGAGGCUCUUCACAGGCGCAAACGUUCAGAAAUAUCUGCAAAGCCGGUGUAUUCUGCUCCUGCUCAUGCCUUCUCGUUGAGAACCCGGACUAGCGAUUCCUGACCCCGUCCUGCCUAGUGAGAGCGCAGGGAUGUGGCUGUGAAACAGUCCCGGAGCACAGAAGAGCCGCAACUGAGCAUGGAUCAGCUGAAGAGCACUGAGAUGUCUGUGGAGCUCGCUCCAAAGAAACUAUAAAGCUGCGGCUCACCAAAACAAAAAAAAAAAAAAAAAAAGAAAUUAAAAAAAAAGAUCCCUGACAGAAAUUCAUAGUCAAUCCCGUUUGUUUCAUAACUUGUCGCAGAUGUGGCUGUCACCGGGGCUUUGGAAAUCUGAGUCUGUACCAUUCGGCUGCAAGUUAUGAACGUCAGCUCAGGGGAGACUGUUGGGAACCUUCCUGCGCCACCAUGAGCCUCGUCUGUCUUCUACAGCAGUUUAACAAAGUGUAAGAGCUACUAAACUUCAAUACAUGCUAAGACAAGUUCAAAGGUGAUCUGGUAACGACAGCUAAAACUUGUAUAAAUAAAACUCUAAACGAACUGUAGCUGAUGGUGAUCUGUCCGUAAGCCCCUGGGUCACCUCUUUUUCAGUAAACUGGAUGGCAAAGUUAUGGCUAAAUGUUCUCGAUGGCCUCUGACGGGGAGGGAGGCACCGACGCGGGUGGGAUGUCGCAGAGAGAGAAUUCCGGGACAGCGAUUGUCUCUGCCUCUCCUUCCUUAACGUUAAGACUUUCACAAAUGGCUGCGGUUACAUAUUUUGCCAAAGGUUUGUUACUUCAUGGUAUUCACACAAAAAUAAAUAUUUACAUAAAUUCCAAGUAUGGGAGGAUGCAGUGGACAAACCAAGCAGGCUUGUGAAGUGCUGGGGAAAGCGUGAGUCUGAACCCUGGCCUGGGGGGUUGGUGUCCCGGGCUGGGCCCCCCCCACUCUCCUGCCUGCUGCGGGCAGGGGGGGUCGGGGCGCUCGGCCCAGGCGCCGCGAUGCUCCCGGUUCCAGCAUCGGCUCGGGUCUAACGAGCCGCCACCUCAUCUCUGCACGGACACCCCGCCGGCACCCAGCGGCCAGGGGUUGGGUCCCUUUUCUCCAAAUGCUAUGGAAAGUUUAAGGUUUGGGGAAAACAGUCAAUGCAACGGUUAAUCCCUUCUGCUGCCGGGCCAGGCAAGCCUGUCCGCAGGAGCCGGUGGCUUUGUCUGUGCUAAGAGCAGGGUAGAGGUUUUGCUUCUCUUCCAGUGUGGGGGGAGUGUGGUCGGGUAUAAACGCGACGGAGUCAAACUGCCCGGGUCCGCUCCCGGCCGGGACCAGCCGCUGCCUCCUCUAACAGCUCCAGCCCGUGCCCGCCGCGUCAGCCCCCCCCGGGGCAGCAGCCUCCGUCCACCGGCUCAGAAAGAAGAAACCAGCUGGUUCCAAAGAGAGAAAGCAUCUACCUUUGAAAGGAGCGUAGAGGGGUCUACCCUUACGGAGCUGGUGUGUGGCGGGGGCGCGGGGAGGAGCGGGGCCCAGCGGCCGUCCCUGCCGCGCUCCGGCUCGGCAGCGCGUUGCAUUGCGUGGCGCCUCGGCAGCUCCGUGCCCGAGCGCAGUCCCUGGGUUUAGCAGCACUGGUAGUAGGUAUUGCACUGAGCAAAACGAAGUGCAUUAUUGGGGGUGGGGGGGUGGGGGGGUGGUCACGGGGCAGAAUGGUCAUCGGACUACGGCUUUUCCACACUUUGGGAAUUGUGGGCUUGUUCCAGGACUGUGAGGAGGAUCCUGGGCCCUGGCGGGGGCUCUGCCAGUUCUGCUGCUGAACGCUGCCCGGCUCCAUCUUCAGCGGCGCAGUCGCCGGGCCGAGCUCGCUUUCCCGGCAGCACUGGCCUGGGGGGUUUUUUAUUACGGCCCUGCGGCUCCUCAGUGGUUUCUCCUCCUGGUGCCACCCCGGGGCUGGUCUCAGAUGUGCUGGAGCCAGCAGCGCGGGCUGGGGGCGAGCGGCCGCCCAGCAGCAGGACCCCGGCGGAUCCGCUGGACCUGCCGGGUGGGCUCCAGGCUCCCGGCGCGAUCCCCCGCGGCCGCCAGCACCGGCUCGGCCAGUCCUGGAAGAAGCCCACAAUGGAGUGUGAGGUAGAGUACGGAUGGUGACCGCAAGACAGUGUUUCUCAGGUAUUUCCUUCCUUCCUUCUCUUAUCUGCAAUGACUGAAAUGAGUGCGAGACGUCCUUCUAGCCGGAGGUCUGCCGAGCUUGCCGAGUCUCUGCGGGAGGUUUAGACCCCACUGCUGCUACAGGAACGCUUAGCACGAAGGUCUAAGCAGGACGCGUGCUUGCUCCGCUGUUCGGCUGCCACCUACGCUUACCGGAGGCUGAGCAGCCUCGAAGUCUGGGGCUGGAUGGCAAACUUGCUCCCUGCGGGACAAGGGCUCCCCAGAGAAACAGGCAGAGCUGCCUGGCAAUUAGUAGUGUAGUGAUAUGGAAUGUGUUAUUUCACAGGAAUAAAUUCCUUCUGAUCAGACAGACAAAAAACUGGCAAUCUGUACAAACUCAAAAGAAUCCAUUUUCAGAAAAAUAAAUUACUAAGGGGAGAGGAGGGUCCAUUUCUCAAUAAAUAUGUGAUUCAGCUCACCUAAGACUUGGAAAUUAUCUGGGGAUGGGAAUCUAACAUUUGGGUCCACAAAGGUUAUUCUAAAUACAUCUGCAGCCCCAAACCUCCCCAGGCUCCCUUCUGCCCUUGAAAGUCCCACAUCCUUCCAAGCCGCAGGUUUGGCUUCUGGUCGGCCGGACGCACGGGUGUUGGUACGGUUCAAAAACGUGUCCUUGUGCCUGAAGUCCCAGGUGCUUGGAGUGUAAAAGAAAACAGGUCUUUUGGAUUCCACCUUCUAAAACUACAUGUACCCGCCACUUCACAGGAGGACGAUGGUGGUCCUGAGCAGGACACCGCUGGGAGCCUCUUUCUGGCAGGUAUAAAUUGUCUUCUCGACAGAGG
rnacentral:lncRNA from 1 species